CGUGUGGUUCUAUUUUGUUGGUUUCUAGGACCGCCGUAAUGAUUAAUAGGGACAGUCGGGGGCAUCAGUAUUCAAUUGUCAGAGGUGAAAUUCUUGGAUCUAUUGAAGACUAACUACUGCGAAAGCAUUUGCCAAGGAUGUUUUCAUUGAUAAGGAACGAAAGUUAGGGGAUCGAAGACGAUCAGAUACCGUCGUAGUCUUAACUAUAAACUAUGCCGACUAGGGAUCGGACGAUGUUAUCUUUUGACUCGUACGGCACCUUUCGAGAAAUCAAAGUGCUUGGGCUCCAGGGGGAGUAUGGUCGCAAGGCUGAAACUUAAAGAAAUUGACGGAAGGGCACCACCAGGGGUGGAACCUGCGGCUUAAUUUGACUCAACACGGGGAAACUCACCAGGUCCAGACACAGUGAGGAUUGACAGAUUGAUAGCUCUUUCUUGAUUCUGUGGGUGGUGGUGCAUGGCCGUUCUUAGUUGGUGGAGUGAUUUGUCUGCUUAAUUGCGAUAACGAACGAGACCUUAACCUGCUAAAUAGCCCUUAUUGCUUCGGCAGUAAGCUGGCUUCUUAGAGGGACUAUCGGCUCAAGCCGAUGGAAGUUUGAGGCAAUAACAGGUCUGUGAUGCCCUUAGAUGUCCUGGGCCGCACGCGCGUUACACUGACAAAGCCAGCGAGUAUUUCCUUGGCCGGAANGCCCGGGUAAUCUUGUUAAACUUUGUCGUGC
rnacentral:rRNA from 1 species